UAAUGUUUUAAUUCCCUAGUCAUGGUAUGUAGCAGGUUACCUUUUGCAGCUAAAACACACCGCCCUAGUUGGGUCUGCAUCUGUGAUAGAUGUUGCUGUUCAGAUAGGUACUGUUUUUGGGUUACUACAAACGGAUAUAGUAAACACUACACCGGUGUUAGUUCCAAUCAUCGCUGUCUACACUGGCGUCUUGACCCGGUUUAGUAUACUUUUUAUCGGGUUUCUCAUCCACAGAAGAGUGACAAGGACAAACGUAACUGAAACCCGAACAAACGAAAGCAGUUUGAGUAUUCUACGAGUGCUGAUGUUCUGGUGGCCACUUGCAAUUGUCCAAGCUGUCCAGAAAAUCAGCCGACCAAUGAUCACUUUGUUUGUAGCCAGAGACCUCGGAGGCUCAGAUGAAGCUGUUCAGGUUAGAAAAAUAUGAAAAUAUUUGUGUCUG